GUACAAGUCAUCUCAGCUUGUCCCAACUAAUCCUCAUAUUUCCACUCUAUUUCCAUCGAUUAAUAUAAAAUUUCCUAUAUUUCUUCAAAAUAAUAAUAUAAAUUUCUUAUAAUGUUGACCAAAUGUAUAGGACAAAACUUUUCAUAUUUAGAACACAGAGAUAGUAAUAUAGAAUAACGGUUUUACUAUAUCUAGUCUGAUUUUUAGUUAGGGAUAAGUUGAUCCUCAGCCAUUGGAUAUGCUUUGUGCUUUAAGAUUCCAAACGAACUACUUCCUUCGUCCAACAAAGGAUGUCUCAAUUUUGACUAAAUUUGAAUGCAUCUAUACACUAAAUCAUGUCUAGAUACAUCAAAAUUUUGACAAACUUGAGACAUCUUUUGUUGGACGGAGGGAGUAUGAAAACUUGAAAAGGAAAAAGUGAAAUAGCAUCCAGACACUAAUUCGACGGUUCUGAUUCGUCAACUUAGAUUUUAAAAUUUUGGUUAAAAAUCAGCUUGCUGAGAUAUAAUCAUACCUUGUCCACCGCUGCUACUGCUCAGCAGCAAAUGUCUAAGAGCAUGUCCAGCAUUGGUCAACACAGCUGCUAAGAAGAUUUAGCACCGGUCAUGCCAAUGCUAAGAGAUUUUUGCUAGAUCCGCAUCAAGUAGAACCAUCGGUUCCAAGAGCAGGUUGACUCUGGUGGAGCCCAUGUGCAGCUUUCCCCCCCUCCGUUCUUUCUCCCCACCUUGCUAGAAAGUAGUAUUCUAUAUUAUUUAAUGGGAUCAACUGAGAAAAGCUUAGCACAUGUACAUUGCACUAGUAUUUCGGUUUGUAGAACUGGUGCUUCUGCCAGGUCUCUAGAAUCGACACAUUGGCCUUGCUCUAAGAGCAAGAAUAAUAGAACGUUAUCAGCCAGGUACAAGGUUUCCAUGUCAUCAGAAAUCAUACUUGGAAGAGAAAAGAAGGGAGGAAAGAGGAGCUGACGCUUCAACAGUCGCUCGUUGUAGCACGGGUUUCAAAGAAAGAAGAGCCGGCAUGCAGCCUGCUGCUAGCUCUAGGUACACACGUAUAUGCAGAUGCCGCCUGGAAGCUUUCUCAGAACCAUCCUAGGAUCUCCUCUGUCAAAGCAGGGAUUGCUGUUUUCGUCGAUCAUUUCUCCCCCUCCUCAAAUCUGUAGGUGCAAAUUUCGCGAUAUUAACCAUUCAGCGCCAUGCAGGUUCCUCUCCAAGCAGGUGUUCUCCUUACAGCAAAUUUCGCGAUAUUAUCCUUGCAGCUACUACCAGGUAUCAGCAGGUUCCUUUGUCUCCAAUCAGGUGUUCUCCUUACAGACAACCUCACAUUGGCGCAAGGCAUAGCAUUCAGCGACACGUACCCUGGACACUGGGGACUUUCGGCCGCUGCUGGACAGGAUUUUCACCACUCUCCAGUCUAUCAAACACAUCUCUACAGACCGUAAUGCAGUGGCACAUGAUUUGGCUACUACUGCUAGAAGACCAGGCAACAUCUCUGAUUUAUCUUUCGCCUGUAUUAACAGGUUCGAGUCCUGAAAACAGCCUCUUGCAGAAAUGCAGGGAAAGGCUGCGUACAAGACCCAAAGUGGUCGGACCCUUCCCCGGACCCUGCGCAAGCGGGAGCUACAUGCACCGGGCUGCCCGGUAUUAACUGAACUCAGCUCAUAUAUAGAGCUACUGGUUGCCCUGUGCACAAGCUCUACAUGCUUCAAGAGUGGAUGGAAUCACGCUAAACUCUGUACUUUACUUUUAGUGAAAUAUAAAUCUUCUUCCUUAAAAAAAAAGUAAUCCAACUGAGCUCGAGGGCCGUGGAGUAACUAUUUUGCAGACACUUCCUUUUCUGUCUUCUUGCUCUUGGCAACAUCGUUAUUCAGGGCAUAAACUAUGUGUGGUUACACAUCAAACAGUGGCUAAGCUAUCUAGAAACUUGCAAUGUACAGUGUACUACCUCUCUCAAAAUCAGUGUACUUCU